rnacentral:rRNA from 1 species
AGAGUUUGAUUAUGGCUCAGAAUGAACGCUGGCGGCGUGCCUAACACAUGCAAGUCGCACGAGAAAGGCUGGGUUUCGGCUUGGCCGAGUAAAGUGGCGCACGGGUGAGUAACGCGUGGGUGACCUACCCUCGAAUCUGGGAUAACCUCGCGAAAGCGGGGCUAAUACUGGAUACGUCCCUUUGGGGAGAAAGCCGGCCUCUCGCAGAAGCUGGUGUUCGGGGAUGGGCCCGCGUCCUAUCAGCUAGUUGGUAGGGUAACGGCCUACCAAGGCGACGACGGGUAGCUGGUCUGAGAGGAUGAUCAGCCACACUGGCACUGGAACACGGGCCAGACUCCUACGGGAGGCAGCAGUGGGGAAUCUUGGACAAUGGGCGAAAGCCUGAUCCAGCGACGCCGCGUGGGGGAUGAAGCCCUUCGGGGUGUAAACCCCUGUUGCGAGGGAGGAAUAAGGCCUGGAGGAAAUGCCAGGCCGAUGACUGUACCUCGCGAGGAAGCCCCGGCUAACUACGUGCCAGCAGCCGCGGUAAUACGUAGGGGGCGAGCGUUACCCGGAUUCACUGGGCGUAAAGCGGGUGUAGGCGGCUCGGUAAGUCGGGUGUGAAAUCCCACAGCUCAACUGUGGAAUUGCGCCCGAAACUGCUGAGCUUGGGGCCGGUAGAGGGAGACGGAACUGCCGGUGUAGGGGUGAAAUCCGUAGAUAUCGGCAGGAACGCCGGUGGCGAAGGCGGCUCUCUGGCCUGUAACUGACGCUGAGGCGCGAAAGCGUGGGGAGCGAACGGGAUUAGAUACCCCGGUAGUCCACGCCGUAAACGAUGGGUACUAGGUGUAGGAGGUAUCGACCCCUUCUGUGCCGUAGUUAACACAAUAAGUACCCCGCCUGGGGAGUACGGCCGCAAGGUUGAAACUCAAAGGAAUUGACGGGG